GUCGAGCGAGAACGCAACUUCGGUUGCUAGUACAGCGGCGAACGGGUGUGUAACACGUGAGAAUCUACCCAUUAGUGAUGGAUACCUUCAGGAAACUGAAGUUAAUACAGCAUACGACCCUUCGGGGAGAAAGGAGGCCUCUUUGCUUCCGCUGAUGGAUGAGCUCGCGGCCUAUUAGUUUGUUGGUGGGGUAAUGGCCUACCAAGACGAUGAUGGGUAGCCGGCCUGAGAGGGUGAUCGGCCACAUUGGGACUGAGAUACGGCCCAGACUCCUACGGGAGGCAGCAGUGAGGAAUUUUGCGCAAUGGACGAAAGUCUGACGCAGCGACGUCGCGUGGAGGAUGAAGGUUUUCGGAUCGUAAACUCCUGUUAAGUGGGAAGAAAAGCACGCGGUUAAUACCCGUGUGUCAUGACUGUACCACUAGAGAAAGCACCGGCUAACUUCGUGCCAGCAGCCGCGGUAAUACGAGGGGUGCAAGCGUUAUUCGGAAUUACUGGGCGUAAAGGGCGUGUAGGCGGCCUACUAAGUCAGUUGUUAAAUCCCUCAGCCUAACUGAGGACUCGCGAUUGAUACUGGUAUGGCUAGAGUGCAGGAGAGAGAGGUGGAAUUAUCG
rnacentral:rRNA from 1 species